AGUACCACGGGCGAGUGACGUGAUAUCACCUGAUGUGAGGAUUGUAGUUGAGAAAUCACUCUCUCUCCAUAGCUGGUCAUUGCUCGACAAGCACCACUCUCUUUCCAUCUGCUCCUGGUUUGGUGGACAUGGCUCUCUCCAUGUGCUUUUGGUCUGGGGAACAUGGCUCUCUCCAUCUGCUCCUAGUCCUGGAAUCAUCCCUCUCAUCUCUGUUUGUUUGUUAUUUACACUCUAUUUUGAAGUUGACCACUAACUGACACUAAGCAACACGAGAUGGCAGACCGCAAGCAACAGGAACUGGCAGCUACCACCACAUGAUGGAGCAGUGGGAAUAUACAAUGGCAUCUUCCACUCAAUGGAGCAGCUGGAACACGGGCUUCUAGUCACCACAGAAUGGAGCAGCAACAGCAGUAACUGGCGUCUACCAUACGAUGGAGCAGCAACAGCAGUAACUGGCGUCUACCAUACGAUGGAGCAGCAACAACAGUAACUGGCGUCUACCAUACGAUGGAGCAACAACAGUAGUAACUGGCGUCUACCAUACGAAGGAGCAGCAACAGUAGUAACUGACAUCUACCAUACGAUGGAGCAGCAACAGCAGUAACUGGCGUCUAUCAUACGAAGGAGCAGCAUCAGUAGUAACUGACAUCUACCAUACGAUGGAGCAGCAACAGCAGUAACUGGCGUCUACCAUACGAUGGAGCAGCAACAGUAGUAACUGACAUCUAUCAUACGAUGGAGCAGCAACAGUAGUAACUGACAUCUAUCAUACGAUGGAGCAGCAACAGUAGUAACUGGCGUCUACCAUACGAUGGAGCAGCAACAGUAGUAACUGACAUCUACCAUACGAUGGAGCAGCAACAGCAGUAACUGGCGUCUACCAUACGAUGGAGCAGCAACAGUAGUAACUGACAUCUAUCAUACGAUGGAGCAGCAACAGUAGUAACUGACAUCUAUCAUACGAUGGAGCAGCAACAGUAGUAACUGACAUCUAUCAUACGAUGGAGCAGCAACAGUAGUAACUGGCGUCUACGAUACGAUGGAGCAGCAACAGUAGUAACUGAUAUAUACCAUACGAUGGAGCAGCAACAGUAAUAACUGGCGUCUACCAUACGAUGGAGCAGCAACAGUAGUAACUAGCAUCUACCAUCGAUGGAGCAGAAACAGUAAUAACUGGCGUCUACCAUACGAUGGAGGAGCAGAAACAUGAUAUAUUAGCUACCAGACGGUGCAGCAGCAGACACAUAAUAUAUCAGCUACCAGACGGUGGAGCAGCAGACACAUGACAUAUCAGCUACCAGACGGUGGAGCAGCAGA